ACUUUGUUUUAUUUCAUGAAUUCUUCGAGUGUACUAAAGUAGAGUUUGGUGAUAUACCACCUCACAUCAUAGCUAUUUAUGCAGCGUCAGAAGAACCUUUAGAUAAAGCGGGAGCAUAUGGUAUUCAAGACAAUGGAGGUACACUAAUUAAAAAAAUCAAUGGUUGUUUUUAUAAUGUGCAAGGUUUUCCUCUCUAUAAAUUUUGUGAAGAAGUUUAUAAUUGCUUUAAAGUGAAUGACAAAAAUAUAAAUAUGUUUCAGUUUCUUUAA
rnacentral:lncRNA from 1 species